UGGCUGGGGGAAGCAGGUGCAUGGCUACUACCAGAUCGGACGAUUAACACACAGAGGGGCAUUUUCAUCCGAUUAAGUCUGAAAUUAUCUUGGAAUUGGCCAGGUGGACUUGGAUGGACUUGAAUGAACUUGGAUUUCCUCAAACCUUGUCAGUCAGCUUGG